GAGAGAAAAAAAAGGGCCCCGGCCGCAGCGCCGAGCCGAGCCGAGCCGCGCCGCGCCGAGCCCAGCCCGGGGGAGCGGAGGGGCGGCCGCGGUGCCGCCGCCGCCACCAGGGAGGAUCCGCCGCGGCGCUGCUCCAAGAUGCACAGGACCACCAGGAUAAAGAUCACCGAGCUCAACCCCCACCUGAUGUGCGCCUUGUGCGGCGGCUACUUCAUAGACGCCACCACCAUCGUGGAGUGCCUGCACUCCUUCUGCAAAACCUGCAUCGUCCGCUACCUGGAGACCAACAAGUACUGCCCCAUGUGUGAUGUCCAGGUGCACAAAACCAGGCCCCUCCUCAGCAUCAGGUCAGACAAAACCCUCCAGGAUAUCGUGUACAAACUGGUCCCGGGGCUUUUCAAAGACGAGAUGAAGAGGCGGCGUGACUUCUACGCAGCCUACCCCAUGGCCGAGGUUCCCAAUGGCUCCAACGAGGAUCGCGGGGAAGUCUCCGAGCAGGACAAGGGGAACCUGGCGGACGACGAGAUCGUCAGCCUGUCCAUAGAGUUUUACGAAGGAACGAGGGAGGAGAAGAAAGGGACCAUCGAGAACGGGGACCUGGAGAAGGAAAAGAAGAACGGGGUGCGAUUCCUGCGCUGUCCCGCCGCGAUGACGGUCAUGCACCUGGCCAAGUUCCUCCGCAACAAGAUGGAUGUUCCCAGCAAGUACAAGGUGGAAGUCCUCUACGAAGAUGAACCCCUGAGGGAAUAUUACACCCUGAUGGACAUCGCCUACAUCUACCCCUGGAGGAGGAACGGGCCCCUGCCGCUGAAAUACCGCGUCCAGCCCGCCUGCAAGCGGCUCAAGCUGUCCCAGCCGGCCACCUCCGAGUGCACCAACACCAGCGGCGCCUCCGAGUGCGAGUCGGUCAGCGACAAAGCCCACAGCCCCGCCACGCUGCCCGCCACCUCGUCCUCCCUGCCCAGCCCCGGCACGCCGUCCCACGGCUCGCCCAGCUCCAACGCCACCGCCGGCAGCGGCCCCGGCCCCGCGCUCAACGGCACCUCGAACUGCCACCCGCUGCCCCCGGCCGCCAGCCGGUGCCGCAAAACGACUGUCAAUGGCAGCACGGCCUCCGCCUUGACCUAAAAAGCGAAAAAAAAAACAACAAAAAAAAAAACAGGGACUCCUGGCUGGGUUUUAUAUAUCUAUAUAUAUUAUAUAUAUACAUAUAUAAAUAUAUAUGUGUACAUAGGGAGAAAAAAAUUAUACAUACUUAUUUUCUAUUGAUUGACCAGAUUAAUUUAAAAUGCAAAUAAGACACAUAAAUGUGGUUGAAUAUUUUAAUUUUUUUUUUUUUUUAAUUUUAACUUAUGGAAGCUGCAUGCCGGAGCUGGGAGCCACGCAGGCGCUGCCGCCUGCCCUGCUCAUUCUCUCUAACGCUUUUCCCUCUCCUCCCCACCCCUCUCCCCUUGUGCCCGCUCAGAGAGAGACAGGGCGGUGAGCAGGGCCUGCCGGACGCACAGGUAAGGGCUAAGCACAGGUAAGGGCCAAGCACAGAAGCCAAAAACUUCCCCCGCUGCCUCAGCCCCGCUCUCGGGCACGGCGUGGGCUUUGCCGGUGCGAUGCGGUGUGGCUCCGCUGGGCUCUGGCAGCGGAGGGGGAGCUGCUCCGCGUCCGCGUGCCCCCAGCCCCACUGUGUCCUUUUUUUUUGCUUUUCAGUGGGUUUUCUUUUUGCACCAGGCUCGAUAACGUGGUGCCCACAGCCAGCUGGUACCGAUGUCUGUUUGCUGGCACCAAGCAUCCCUUGCUGGUGUUGCCCACCCUGCUUUGCCUUGCCAUGCACGUUUCUGUUUCUUUUGUGCUUUCCCUGUGUGGUCUCUGGACGUGUUUUCAGGCUCUGAUCUAGCAAAGCCUUACACAGACGCCUCCCUUUCUGCACAGUAAGUAGUUUCUUUUUUUAUUCCUAGCUAAAAAAACUACACUUGUGCCCUGAUGGUGAAGGGCCAGCCAUACCGGGGAGGGGUAGGAGCACAAGCCCCAGUGAAUAUUGGAUUUUUCCUUGCCAAGGGAGUUGCCACCUUCCUGGGUGCGCCUGUGGCCGGGCAGCUGCGUGGUGGGGGCAGCACCCAGCCAGGGGGACGCGGGGCCAGGAGCCACCCGCACCCACGGGACCCCCAUGCCACUGGCCCCCUGGCAAACGUCCACAGCUUCGCCACAUUUCAGAGCUUUUUCCCCCUCUGUCCUUCCCACCCUUUCCUCCUGUCCCCACAUUGGAUUUUAAAAUAAAAAAUAAAAAAUUACUACAGUGCCUUUAGCCAGGAGGCUUCGGUGAGGGGAAGCGUGGGAAGGCGCUGCUGUUUCGGGCAGGAGCAGCACCGGCACCGCCGGCUGCCCACGCGCUCUGGGGAGGGGACCAACUUCACAGUCACAAAAAAAAGCACAGGAGCCCCGGGGAGCGCAGACCCUGGGGGUUUAUCUCCUCCCCUCGCUGGGGAGGGGGGAAUGAGUGACAAAAACCAAGCAAGUGCCUGCAGCGCCCGGACAGCAGCCGGCAGCGGCACGGUGAGAACCAAAGGAAAGCGGCACGGGAAUUGUAUGGACAGCCCGACUCCAAAGAUGCGGGUGCUCAGCGGCGGCCCUCCGGCGGCGACCCUCCUGCUCCCCUCAGGCUGCCAAAGGCACCUUUGGCUCUGGGGCAGGUUGAGGCGAUUUGACGAGGAGGAGCACGCUUCAAAGGGACCGGGCGCCUUUGGAAGAGGUCGGAGAAAUGUGUAAGUGCUAUCUGAACGCCUCUUCCCCCGCUCGUCAGCUCCAGCCUCGUCCCCGCCUGUCCCGGAGAGCGGCUUCGUGCUCCAACCAGCGCCACAAGCGAACGCGGGGACGUGCCCAGCAGGAGCAGGGAACCAGGACCGCAGCAUAGCUCAGCCCACCCUGCUUUUAGCAGAGAUCCUGUCUACGAACGCAGUCCUCGAAUUCAGUCCUCGAUUUCCAACCUCUUCCGCCGGGUGGGCUCCCCGGGUGUCUUCCCAGCAGCAGCGUAGGGCCCGUACGGCGCGUUUCAGCCCCGACUGCACGCUCACCUUCAUCAUGUACCUCUCGCCGACCCCCUGCCACCUUUCCGCUGUCGCCCAGGGAUUUGGGCACCAUCCCACUGAUCUGAACAAGGUUUUCGUUUGUCCCAGGAGUCAACUUGCUCUGGGGACAGCCGUUAACCAGCCUCCCCUCCUCCAUCCCCUCUGCUCCCGCUCCCAGCUCGUUAAUUCCAGGGCGUGAAAUGUGGUUAAAUUUUGGAACAGUUUGACCAGGUCUGGACAGGACGUCAGGUCCGGGUGGUUACCGAGCAGUCUGAAGGCUGUGCUGCUGGUAAGCAUGACAGCACAACAGGUGGCAACUCAAACUUGGGAUCUUACAGAAAAAAAAAAAAGGAAAAAAAAAAGAAAAAAAAGAAAAAAAAGAAAUAGAACAACUCCAACCCAGACAAACCCAGCUGGGCAAGCAGCUGGCUGGCAGCCAUCACAUCUGCAGAUUUAACAGCCACUGCUGUACCCCUACCCUCCUGUCCGUCAUCCCGCUGACCCAGACCCGCACUCAUCAGUGGGCCCAGCUGCUCCUGAGUCCCACGGACCUGAUGCACAGAGGUUGGCAGGUCCGGCCCUCACCUGCGUGCAGCCGUCACACACAAACGGGGCACGUCAGGGCUGAAUUUAGCACGGCAGCCUC